AAUAAAAAAUAGUGAAAUUAAUCACAAAUCAGCAAAAGUUUUCAUAUAUAAAACUGUCUCUCUGUCUCAGAAUCUAUAAGCUAACAGUGCUCAUCAAAACCCUAAAUAGAGCUGCCGCCACAAGUUACCACCGCAAAAUGCAGCUCGUCAAAAAGAUGGUAACAUUCUGAGCAGGAGGCAUCUUUAAUGCAAGUUUGUUUCCCUGGUAACAUUCUGAGCAGGAGGCAUCUUUAAUGCAAGUUUGUUUCCCUUGUAUGUGUCCAUCAACCAUCAUUUUGAUUUCCUGAUCAUAUAAUGUGCUUUGGCAAAGUAUUGUUCUACUCAUUUCUUCUAAGUGACAAAUCCUCCAUCUUUGGAUAAUAGAGUAGUGAAGGAUGAUUUGUCUUCAGUCAUGUGUCUAGAGCAUCCACUAUUAAGGUACCACCUUCUGUUUUUUGCUUUAGACUUAAGGCAUACCUACAAUAAGAUAAUCAAAUGUUGGAUUUUGGU